rnacentral:rRNA from 1 species
GACGAACCGUGCGAACGUUGUUCGGAAUCACUGGGCUUAAAGGGCGCGUAGGCGGGGUGGCAAGUCUGUGGUGAAAUCCUCCGGCUCAACCGGAGAACUGCCGUGGAUACUGCCACUCUCGAGGGGUGUAGGGGCAUGUGGAACUCAGGGUGGAGCGGUGAAAUGCGUAGAUAUCCUGAGGAACGCCGGUGGCGAAAGCGACGUGCUGGACACCUACUGACGCUGAGGCGCGAAAGCCAGGGGAGCGAACGGG